AUCACCUCCUUGGAAGAAGAACGAGCAUGAUGUCCGUCUGUCUUCGUUUGCGAAUUUAACUGAAUGGUCUGCUCUGUCCCUCCAUCGAACGAAAAGUCAACUCCGACAACAGCGUCAGGAUGGGUGAAUCCGAGAUGAGCAUGGCGUUGUCCCAGGUGGCGGACAGCGUAGAGAGCAGUGCUAUGUCCUCCAUUGGUGGCACAAGCACUAGUUCACAGGACGACCAAGAAGAGCGGAGAAGAAAAAUUAUGUUCAUUGUGGCUGCGGCGUGCGCGUUGCUGUUUAUUUCCGGACUGACCCUCUUCCUGGUCCUGCAGAGCGGUAAGUGUCGUAGAUGAUAAUCAAUCGAUCAAUCGAGCUGUCAUCCAGCGAUACGCUUCCGCCCAUAACAUUAUGAUGUCCAUUAUACCAACAUCCGCCAGCAUCAAGCCCCUUAUGGGGCCUCAUCUCGAAGAAACCGCUAAAAAAAAGGUGCGCACUCUAAAUCUUUUCACACCUUUAAAGGUGUAACAACGUGCACAUGGCGCACGCCUUUUUAGGUGUAAUUUUGGUAACAUCAUAACGGAGCCCGGUUUCGCACAAAUUUUCUUUACUCGAGUGUUGUCUGUCCUCCGAAAAUUCAGUCUUUCAACAUCUCAACAUUAUUCAACACUAUUGUAGACACUUGCGCGUGCUCGAUUAUCGAUAGCGAUGCAUAUAUGCAUUAGCUCGUACCUACGAUAUCCAAGACAUAAUGAAAGCAAGAUUUGCAUUGACACUUGAUCUUUAGUAAUGCUUUCCAAAUUUUGUAAAAUAUCAUCCUGGAGAUGCAAUGUUACGCAACCAGGUUGAAUGUUCAUAGCGCACACCUUUAAAGGUGUGAAAAAGUUUACAGUGAUGGACCAAUCAGCCUCAUUGCUGAGUGGCGAGCCCCCUUCUUAAAUUGCGCGAAACAAAAACAAAAAAAUGCGACUUUCCUGAUGGCAUUGCGCGUUUUCAGCACACUCAUUUUUCUGUACCCUUUGUGGUUAUGUCAAUUUUAUAUCUACUGUAAAAAAACGAAAACGUAUCCCGAGCCCCCAGUACCACCACGUGACGAUUUUCCUCCCAAUUGAGCUGUUUUUUUUUUUUUAGAAAACAUAAAAUUACGGCCAACGUUGUGUCGAAGUCGACCCCAACUGCGCAUUGCUAGUAUGACGACGAAACUAAAUUUCAUGGAGCAUGGAUCAAUGUUGCUUGACAAAUUGGGGGUUACUUCCCACUAGGCAUCGCCCCGAGCUAUUUUACCGCCUAGCAAAUAUUUAGCGUUCCCUAUAGCUCGUUGUGCCACAUUUACAAGCAACACGCCGUUGUAAACUGCGCCCGUAACAUAACCUUUGUCUCUUGCUUUACGGUACAUCUAAACAUGACAUGGUACGCUGCUCGACAGUGAUCAGGCACAAGUUGAUCACUGCUGUGCGAUAAACGUCGACCAUAACUGACGUUGACGUCUUAUGUGAUGGGUCUGUGUCUAACUCCAUGUCGCUGUCUUUUCUUUUGGGAAACAGCGCUGAUAACAAGUGAUCUCAAAAGGGGUCGGUGAUAUUUCCGAUUCAUGGGAGAACUGAUGUUCUGGGGCUGGAACAACAUAGAAAGGACAAAUACAUACAAAGCCUCAAACUGCCUAAGAAAUUAACGAUGAAAGAUGAAAGUCACUGAAAAGGUUAUCCAGCUGUAGGACUCGAACCCACAUCUUCUGGAUUGCCGGUCCAGGGCUCUACCAAUUGAACUAAGGUAACACCCCCCCGCAAUAUCCAAGGGUGCGUCAUCUGAAAGGACAAACCAGCCACUCUCUCACACUUUCAUCUUUCAUGGUUCAUUUCCGAUUCAGUUACGUCAUGCAGCCACUUCACCGUACGCCACAGUACUGACGUCAGAGGGGCUUCGGUGAUUCCUGCUGCUUUUGUGCGGAUCUCUCCUCUCCCGUGCGAAAUGCGUGCAUUUCGCACGCAUUCACAUGCAUUUCACAUUUCGCAUGCAUUCAUGUCAUAGCGGGAUGCGGUGCCUCUUUUUUACUUCGAAAGGUCCCUUUCAAAAAAAAAAAAAGUAAGGAACGCACGAAAGUGAAAGGAACAUAGUUUCAUAUCUAUGCAGAUAAGUGCCAUGCGCUUUGUCACAUUGGACACAAAGCCGUUUAUGGAGAGAGUAAGGGGCGUGACGUCAUACACGACAUGGCUCCGCCCACAUGGCUGGAACCGAAGUCUAGCCGCGGCGGCAUGGGGUGGAUUUCAAGGCAGUAUUCCCGCUCCAAAAUGGCGGCUCUCGCCUUGGCGCCGCCCCGCGUGUGACGUAAAAUGACGAGCAUCGAAACUGGCUCCUCCCAGUGGCCCAGAGCCCGGAGGUGGGGAGCCGCCGUGACGUCAGUGCCGUCAGUGCUCCGCCCACUUGGCCGGGAUGAAAGAAGCGCACCGGCGGCACGGGGGGAACUUCAAGGCUGUUCCUCUGCUCCAAAAUGGCGGAAUUGGCGCCGCCCGUUGCGUGCGCGCGGUGCGCUUCGAGACCGGCUCCUCCCAAUGGCCAAACUCUCCUAAUUAAACGGCUCUGCAAUGGCCGUGCGUAUAGCGCCACCAGACUUGCAACAUGUCAACCUGUCACGGAGUGUUGGAAUCAAUGGUAAGUUUACACUGUUGGGCCACUCAAUGACCAUUCGUUUCAACGAUCAUGGGACUAGGGUGGUAUAUUUAUCGGGCGUAACCUGGGCUGUCGCAGCAUCUUCAGAUUUGGAUCCCAAAGCAAAAUUUUAUUAACGGGUUAAUAACAAAUUACUUCCUUGAAUAGUUUUGUCAGCAAGUAAUUUUUCGAUGGGUUACGUUUCGAGUACUGGUUAAUUUCAGCCAAAACGAAUUCACAGUCUUCAUUUCAGCCUUUUCUGUAUACCCUGUUAUUCCAUUACAAUAAGUGGAAAUAAUUCCUUCCUACUACAACCGUAAAAUGCAUGCCAUAAGACAUGUGCGCAGUAUGUCACGUGUCGGAUACCGCCAGUCACUUGGAAGAGGGCGCAACCGAGCUCUCCUGUUGGCCGGCCUUUGAGGAGCCGACGCCUUGACAGGAGAACUGUUUAUAUACAUGUGUGUGCAUGUGUGCUGUGUGUAUGAGCAGUCAAUGGCGACGAACUCCAAUCUGACGUCAAGGUAUGUGUAAUUAUUUUCUGGCCCUACACUCAACCAUCAUAUCGAAUCGUAUCGUUAUCUGCCCUGAUUUGUUGAAAACGGGAGGCGUACGCCUUUUUUGUGACAACAUAAGUGUCGCAAAAAAGGCGUACGACUCCCGUUUUCAACAAAUCAGGGAAGAUAUCACUCGAGAUGACGGUUGGCUAGAAGAGUGCUAUGCGGUGAAGUUCAUUUUUAAGAGUGUAUAUAGUAACUGUCGAAGUUAUUCCUAACGCCCCUUUUUGGAGAACCUUAGUCAAACGAGACUCUGCUGAACAGCCGAAGGACAUCGCAUGUAGAAGUUGCGCAUCAGGUUUUAGCGGAGCGUUUAAAAAGCUUAGGUUCAUUUUGCAGAGACUUCUUUUUUCCAUUUUAAGAGAAGGGUGCGGUGGCGGCGAUGACCCACCGGCAUAUAUGAUAAUCCGCUAGCUAAUUCGGUCUAUAAACCUCUACCCGAGAAACGUAGUCAUGACGUCAGUAGACAAACCGAAACCGGAACAGAUUGGAAGGGGAGAGCUGGUUUCCAAGAGUGGACCCUUGUGGCGCGACCUUGUUCGCCCCUAUAGCUUCGAGCAACCUGGUGGCGCUGUCGAACACUAUGACGUCGUUUGUUUACAAGCAGGGAGAUGUCUAUUCGGGUAUCACGGUAGGUAAUGGCGCAAAUGACGGAAACAAAAGUGACGACACAACGACGGCGACGACGACGACUUCACCAAUGGGGACAAGAACGAGGACCUCCUCAAAGCUACGUGUCUUCCCAAGAGCAUGGGCCAAAUGGCAAGAGAGGAGGACACAGCACAAGUCGGGCCUUUCACUUUUCAACGGACUAAAAACCUGGACCUGGUAUUCUCUUGGAUAUCCCUGGCCUCAUCCAGCUCACCAACGCUCAAGGUUCUCUUCGCCUUUUUGGACGGCACAGGACCUCAUUGUAACAGGACCCCUUCCUUCUUUCCUCGCUUCACCUCCAACAGUGGG